rnacentral:rRNA from 1 species
UACGGAAGGUCCGGGCGUUAUCCGGAUUUAUUGGGUUUAAAGGGAGCGCAGGCCGGCGCUUAAGCGUGACGUGAAAUGUAGAUGCUCAACAUCUGAACUGCGUCGCGAACUGGGUGCCUUGAGUGAGUCCGAUGUGUGCGGAAUUCGUGGUGUAGCGGUGAAAUGCUUAGAUAUCACGAAGAACCCCGAUUGCGAAGGCAGCACACAAGGCCUUUACUGACGCUAAUGCUCGAAGGUGCGGGUAU